rnacentral:lncRNA from 1 species
UGGGGAAGGGUCCUAAAGGGGAUGGGAUGGAUAUGGGGGGCAGUGAGGGGAUGGGGAAGGGGAAGGGUCCUCAAGAGGAUGGGGUGGGAGGAGGUUAUGGGGUGGGGAAGGGUCAGUCAAUGGUUGGGUUGGGUCCUAAAGGGGAUGGGAUGGAUAUGGGGGGCAGUGAGGGGAUGGGGAAGGGGAAGGGUCCUCAAGGGGAUGGGGUAGGAGGAGGUUAUGGGGUGGGGAAGGGUCCUCAAGGGGAUGGGGUGAGUAUGGGGGGCGAUGAGGGGAGGGGGAAGGGUGACGUCGGCCAACAGUUGGGUGAGGGGUUGGGGGUCCCCGUGGGGCCAAUUGGGGGCGAUAGUGAGGGGGGGGUUGAUGGGUUGGGGGCUGAGGGGGAUGGGAAGGGAUAUGGGGCGGGCGCCAUGUUGGGGACCAGGAAGGAUGUGGGGCCAGGUGAGGUGAGGGUGAAGGGCCUGGUGACGGCCAAGGGGUGGGGGGCUGGGAAGGGCCCCAAAGGGGGAUGGGGGGCAGAUGAGGGUCGUGGGGUGGUCAGGGAGAUGGUGAGGGGAUGGAAGGGGCAGGGGGCGGCCGAGGGGGCAACUAUGGCAACAAUGGAGGCCAAGAUGGAGGCCAAGAUGGAGGCCAAGAUGGAGGCCAAGAUGGCGCCAUCAACCACGUCACCGUCGGCCAUGACACCCCCAACCACGUCCCCAACGGAGGCCAAGAUGGCGGCCAAGAUGGCGCCAUCAACCACAUCAUCAAUAACCAUGGCAACAACAGAGGCCAAGAUGGCGGCCAAGAUGGCAGCCAAGAUGGAGGCCAAGAUGGAGGCCAAGGUGCC